rnacentral:rRNA from 1 species
UACGGAGGGUGCAAGCGUUAUCCGGAUUUACUGGGUUUAAAGGGUGCGUAGGUGGGUCUGUAAGUCAGUGGUGAAAUCUUCGAGCUUAACUCGGAAACUGCCAUUGAUACUAUAGGUCUUGAAUUAUCUGGAGGUAAGCGGAAUAUGUCAUGUAGCGGUGAAAUGCUUAGAUAUGACAUAGAACACCAAUUGCGAAGGCAGCUUACUACGGAUGUAUUGACACUGAGGCACGAAAGCGUGGGGGAUCAAACAGG